GUAUCUGCCGCAAGCGUCAAUCUUACAACUGAGACAGCAAUUGUAUGGCUCGUUUCUGAAGCCAAGGCUAUACCUAAUUGGCAAAAGGAGAUGGGGAUAAACACUUGCAAAACACUCAGACAAAUUGUGGCUUAAGUCUAAGCAUGGUUUUCUCUUUUUUCUGCUCUAAACAUUGGACAGCCACAAGUAUCUGCCACAAGUGUCAAGCUGACAACCAGGAUAGCAGCAGUUGUAUGGCCAGUAUCUGAAGCCAAGGAUGGCAAAAAGAGUUGGGAGAAACACUUGCAGAAGACUUGACAAAUUUUGGCUUUAUGUCUAACCCUCGAGGGGUUGGUUGACAAGUUCUCUGGAUGCUCUUGUGGAUUUGGUCAUGAGAAGCAAGCAAUGGAUGAGGCUAUUGAGGAAAUGAAUGGACUUGGAUGGGGAAAAAUAUCAUUGAGGAAAAAAGCUCAGCCUUGAGGUUCAGGUAGAGACUGAGAUGGUGAUCGCAGUCAUGAUUGUGGUCACGAUUGUGGCCCCAAUCAGGACUAUGGUGGUGGACAUGGAUGUGGAGGUGGAGAGUGCUUUAAGUGUGACAAGCCUGGGCAUUUUGCAAGGGAGUGUCCUCAUGAAGGGGGCUGAGGAGGUAGGUAUGGGGGAGGGAUGACAGGU